rnacentral:tRNA from 1 species
GGGGAUGUAGUUCAGUGGUAGAAUGCUUGCCUAGCAUGUGCAAGGCCCUGGGUUUGAUCCCCAGCAGCCA